rnacentral:lncRNA from 1 species
ACUGCGAAGAUAGAAGAUUGAAGACUCCGGCUCGUGUCCGGAAGGUACUUUCCUUGGGGUGGAAGGCAAGCUUGGCAAUACUGAUAUGUAGAUCUCCUACCAUUGUAACCGACUCUGUGUAACCCUAGCCUCUCCGGUGUCUAUAUAAACCGGAGGGCUUUAGUCCGUAGGACACAACAUACAUUACAACAAUCAUACCAUAGGCUAGCUUCUAGGGUUUAGCCUCCUUGAUCUCGUGGUAGAUCUACUCUUGUACUACACAUAUCAUCAAUAUUAAUCAAGCAGGACGUAGGGUUUUACCUCCAUCGAGAGGGCCCGAACCUGGGUAAAAACAUCGUGUCCCUUGUCUCCUGUUACCAUCCGCCUAGACGCACAGUUCGGGACCCCCUACCCGAGAUCCGCCGGUUUUGACACCGACAUUGGUGCUUUCAUUGAGAGUUCCUCUGUGCCGUCACCAAUAGGCUUGAUGGCAUCUUCAACCAACAACGCUGUCCAGGGUGAGACUUUUCUCCCCGGACAGAUCUUCGUAUUCGGCGGCUUCGCACUGCGGGCCAAUUCACUUGGCCAUCUAGAGCAGAUCGAAGCUAUGCCCCUGGCCGUCAGGUCAGAUUCGGAAGCUUAAACUUCACGGCCGAUGUCCGCGGGGACUUGAUCUUCGACGGACUCGAGCCGCAACCAAGCGCGCCGCACUAUGACGAUGGGCACGAUCUAGCUCUACCGCCGGACAGUGCCUUGGUGGCCGCACACGGAUCCGCUUCGGCCAUUAGCCCGGAGCCGAUCGCCUAGGUCGAGGGCCAGUGGAUAGACGCCGCCCCGGGGGCUUCAACAUCCACGGCGAUGGAGCCAAACACUGAUCUUGUCCCCUGCGAAACCCGUGAUUCCGAGGUGCCGGACUCCUCGCCGGACUCCGGACCUCCCGUGCCCCUACCAAUCGAUCCGGAUUGGGCGCCGGUUAUGGAAUUCACCACCGCGGACAUUUUCCAACACUCGCCUUUUGGCGAUAUCCUGAAUUCACUGAAGCAUCUCUCGCUAUCAGGAGAAUCCUGGCCGGACUAUGGCCAGGAUGGUUGGGGUACGGACGACGAAGAAAUUCAGAUCCCACCCACCACCCACUUUGUAGCCACUGUCGAUGAUUUAACCGACAUGCUAGACUUCGACUCCGACGACAUCGACGCCAUGGACGACGAUGUUGGAGACGAACAGGAGCCAGCACCUACAGGGCACUGGAAGACCACCUCGUCAUACGACAUAUAUAUGGUGGACACCCCGAAAGACGGGGAUGGCGAAGAAGCAGCGGAGGUAGAUUCUCUAAAGAAACAGCCCAAACGCCGUCGUCAGCGGCGCCGCUCUAAAUCCCGCCACAGCAAGAAUGGAGAUUCCGGCACAGGAGAUAAUAAUACUCCGGAGAGUGCCGAAGACAAUCCCCUCCAGCCAGACUCAGCGCAGGAGGAUGCAGAAGCAAGCCCCCACGAGAGGGCGGCACACGAAGGGGUUGAGGAUGAUAACUAUAUGCCUCCCUCCGAAGACGAAGCAAGCCUCAACGAUGAUGAAUUCGUCGUACCUGAGGAUCCCGUUGAACAAGAGCGCUUCAAGUGCAGGCUUAUCGCCACAUCAAACAGCCUAAAGAAAAAGCAGCAAUAGCUCCAAGCUGAUCAAGAUCUGCUGGCCGAUCAAUGGAUCGAGGUCCUCGCGGCCGAAGAGUAUAAACUCGAACGCCCCUCCAAAAGUUACCCAAGACGCAAGCUGCUCCCCCGAUUAGAGGAGGAAGCAUACAUACCUUCAUCACCAGCGCAUGAUAUGGUUGACCGACCACCCCGUGGUCAUGACAGAGAGGCACCCAGGCCCCCAGCCAAGACCGUACCCCGGCAUCGCUCCAAAAGUACGAAGCCAAGAGGGAACGCGCCGGACUUGCGAGACAUAUUGGAGGACAAGGCAAGGCAAUCCAGAUCCAUCUACGAAUCACGUGGGCGCCCUACGACCCACGACGAAUACCGUCGCGCCGGAUAUAACAACGCCGGCCGGGCCGAACACAGCAGACAGCGCUCUCUCGAGCUGCGUCGCGAUAUUGCUCAAUAUAGGGGCGCCGCACACCCUCUAUGCUUCACUGACGAAGUAAUGGAUCAUCAGAUCCCCGAAGGGUUUAAACGCGUAAACAUCGAAUCCUACGAUGGCACAACAGACCCCGCGGUUUGGAUCGAAGACUAUCUUCUCAACAUUCACAUGGCCCGCGGCGAUGAUCUCCACGCCAUCAAAUAUCUCCCACUCAAGCUUAAAGGACCAGCUCGGCAUUGGCUAAACAGCUUGCCCGCAGAGUCAAUUGGGUGCUGGGAAGUCCUGGAAGCCGCAUUCCUCGACAAAUUUCAGGGCACGUAUGUGCGACCACCAGACGCCGAUGACCUAAGCCACAUUAUUCAGCAGCCAGACGAAUCGGCCAGACAAUUCUGGACACGGUUCUUGACAAAGAAAAACCAAAUUGUCGACUGUCCGGAUGUAGAGGCCCUUGCAGCCUUCAAACAUAACAUCCAGGACGAAUGGCUAGCCCGGCACUUGGGGCAGGAAAAGCCGAAAUCCAUGGCAGCCCUCACAUCAUUAAUGACCCGCUUCUGCGCGGGAGAGGACAGCUGGCUAGCUCGUAGCAACAACCUCCGUAAAAAUUCUGGUAGUCCGGAUACCAAGGACAACAACGGCAGGUCACGUCGAAACAAAAACAAGUGCCGCAUUAACGGCGACGAUAAGGAGGAUACGGCAGUCAAUGCCGGAUUCCGAGGCUCUAAACCCGGUCAGUGGAAGAAGCCAUUCAAAAGAACCACUCCGGGUCCGUCCAAUCUGGACCGAAUACUCGACCGCUUAUGCCAGAUACAUGGCACCUCUGAAAAGCCAGCUAACCACACCAGUAGAGAUUGCUGGGUGUUCAAGCAGGCCGGCAAGUUAAUUGCCGAAAACAAUGACAAGGGGCUAAAUAGCGAUGACGAGGAAGAGACCCGACCGCCGAACAACAGAGGACAGAAGGGUUUCCACCCACAAGUGCGGUCGGUGAAUAUGAUAUACGCGACCCACAUACCCAAGAGGGAGAGGAAACGCGCACUCAGGGACGUCUAUGCGAUGGAGCCACUCGCCCCAAAGUUCAAUCCAUGGUCCUCUUGUCCGAUCACUUUCGAUCGAAGAGACCAUCCGACCAGCAUACGUCAUGGCGGAUUCGCCACAUUGGUUUUAGACCCAAUCGUCGAUGGAUUUCACCUCACAAGAGUCCUGAUGGACGGCGGCAGUAGCCUGAACCUGCUUUAUCAGGAUACAGUGCGCAAAAUGGGCAUAGACCCAUCAAGGAUCAAACCUACAAAGACAACCUUUAAAGGUGUCAUCCCAGGAGUGGAGGCCAACUGUACAGGCUCAGUCACACUGGAAGUGGUCUUCGGAUCCCCGGAUAAUUUCCAGAGCGAAGAGUUAAUCUUCGACAUAGUCCCGUUUCGCAGCAGCUAUCACGCUCUGCUCGGACGAACCGCGUUUGCAAAAUUCAACGUGGUGCCGCAUUAUGCAUACCUAAAGCUCAAGAUGCCAGGCCCUCGUGGAGUCUCAUGGUCAAUGGGAAUACAGAACGCUCCCUCCGAACGGAGGAACAUACAGCGGCUCUCGCGGCAGAAGUACAGAGCAGCCUUUUAAGGCAAUUCUCAAGUCUGGCAGUUAAAAGGCCGGACACAGCAAAGCGCGCCCGGAGCAAUGCCACCCAAGACCACCUGGCGCGAUCAGAGCACGCGUAGCAAUGCGGCCCCAACCCUCGCCCGCGUAUGAUCGCAAGAAUAACACUCCGCGUACAUCAUUACGCUUUGGAGAUACCAUGGGCACAGGGAAAGGGGCACGAUCACAAUGGACCCAGAGUGUGGCUUGACCACGCCAGUUUAUUAUUUUUCUUCUUCUUUUAUACACAGGACUCUGGUAACCAGAAGCCCUGUCCGGUGGCAAACCUGCCGAACUCAUGAUAUAAUAGUCAGGGACUAAAGAAGGCCGCGACGAACAUUCAGGUGGUCUCAAUUACGAACAUUAAAUUCGAUUACAUACACCAAGUCUGCAGCUCAUCCCUGGAGGGGGACAUGUUUAUUUAGUCCAAAUCCCUCGCCUACCGCACUAUUUGUAUCAGUCCGCUGUACUAGCAGACUUUCUUUCAUAAAUAAUGCAGCACCUCUUUAUUACAAUUGCAUUAUCUUUUAUAUAUAUGUUCAUUACAUAACAUCUUGCACCCAUAUAUGUUGGUACGGCUGAAUACGCCAGGGGUUUCUGUUCCCCAAAUUAUGGUGUGAUAAAGUCCGAACACUUUCACAAGUGCGGCACCCCAAACUUAUAGCAUUAUUUGAAUCAGCUCCGAAUCAUGUCUUGGGUCAAUAGUUGGGUUUGCCCGGCUCCCACGUUUUGGUGCCUUACGUUCCGUUCUGUCGGCUAAGGUGGCACUGGGAGAACCACUGCGAUUGUGCCCCGGUUGAGCCGGGUUAACACCUCAGUGGAGAAAGCUAAAACUGACUGACAUGAUAAGGCGAGAGACUGGUCGCUGUUCGAGAGGUUUUUUCGGGUCCUUAAAGACUCACGCCGCUUCGAGCGAAGUUCCGGAUAAUGUCCGAUGAAGGCGUGGAUAGCGCCCCGAAUUCAGUCUUCCGAAUACCAGGGGCUUCGCCGAAAUUUAAAAUUAUAGAAUUCUAUGGCUAAGUGAGAGUGUUCAAGCAUUAUAAGUCCGGUUGCCUUGUUCGUCGUGUUGAGCGCCUCCCUAGAUGGACCCAAAAAUGGGAACAAGAGUGCUCAAGUUUAUCCCGAACACCCCAGCACUUGUGGCUUGGGGGCUGAAGCCAACGACUUGCCAUCUCUCAGAUUUUACAAAUGGCCGCACAGAAGGUAAUAUUUUAAAUUAAACAAGUGUUGCUCAUGGCGCAUAUAAACGAAGUUUUUGGCGCACAGGAUAAAUACACAGCGAGUUCACUCAAAGAUUACAUCUCGAGAGCACUCAUCUGCAUUAUCGCAGCCUCCCUUCAGGACAACUUUAUAAUACCUCUCCGGCGUGCGAUGCUCCUUGCCUGGCGGCGGUGGAUCCGUGAGAAGCUUCUCCGCAUCCCGUUUGCCCCAUUGCACCUUUAUGCGGGCAAGGGCCCGACGAGCGCCUUCGAUACAGGCGGAGCGCUUGACUACAUCCAGCCUGUGGCAUGCGUCUACCAGCCGCCGCACGAGGCCAAAGUAGCUCCCAGGCAUGGCCUGUCCAGGCCACAGCCGGACUAUGAGGCCCUUCAUGGCCUCCUUAGCUACCUUGUGGAGUUCGACCAGCUGCUUCAGCUGGUCGCUUGGGGGCACCGGACGGCCGGCCUCAGAAUACUGAGACCAGAAGACCUUCUCCAUCGAGCUCCCCUCCUCGCCAUGAUAGAAUGCGGCGGCAUCAGACGCACUACGUGGCAGAUCUGCAAACACCCCUGGAGAGCUCCGAAUUCGGGUAAGUGUUAGGUAGUUCACAUUAACAUGCCUGCUUUGCAUGAAAAAUGCCUUACCCGUCGCUAUCUUCUUUAUGUCCUCAACUUCCUGAAGGGCCUUAUGGGCCUCGGCCUUGGCGGACUUGGCACUUUCGAGAGCCGAGGCAAGCUCGGACUCUCGAGUCUUGGAGUCACGCUCCAAACUCUCAUGCUUUUCCAUGAGAGCCUGGAGCUCUUGCCGAACUUCCGCCACCCGCGCCUCUAGCUUUUCUCGCUCAGUCUGUUCCGCGGCCGCACUGCGUUCGGCCGCGGACACAGCAUCCUUUAGGGCUGCCACCUCGUUAGUGGCCCCUGCAAUACACAUAUUAUCCUUGUUAAUUUUAUUUGCAACCAAAACCCUUUUCUGUAAGGUACUUACUUAAAGUGGUGUUAUUCACCUUCUUUUUCCUCGAGCUGCCUCUUGGCAUGGCCGAGCUCUUGCUCGGACCACUCGAGAUCCUUCUUCAGCACCUCGACCUCCGCCGUUCGUGCGGUAGAGGUCAGCAGCGCAGCCUGCAAACCCAUAUUGACAUAUUUUAGGCAACCCUGCGUAUAUCUUGUUAGAUCCUCAGUCCGGCUUUUCUUUCCGAACACCGAACUAAGCAUCAGGGGCUACUAUCUAUGCGGUAUUACAUUACAUAAUUUUAACUUCUUACCUCAAAGCCUGUUAGAAGGCUGCUGCAGGCUUCGGUCAGCCCGCUCUUAGCGAGCUGAACCUUCUCAAUCACCGCACUCAUGAUAGUGCGGUGUUCUUCCUCGAUGGAAGCGCCUUUAAGCGCCUCCAACAGGUUAUCCGGCGCCUCCGGUUGGACGGAGGCCGCCGGCGUCACGGUCCUGCCCUUCUUUCGAAGGGGCCGCUUGCCGGACUCUGGAACCAUUGCGGGUUCCGAUGUAGAGUCCAGCGCAAAGUCCGGGAGGUCGCCUGACGGCGCCUCUGGAGCCUCCUCCUGAUGGGUCCCUCUUUGGGAUCCCACCUCGGCGUCCUCGUCGGCGCGUGGGGUAGAGGCAGUCGGGACGGAAUUUACAUCCGACGAGGCCAAUGACCCGCUCAUUGAGUCGGGGAGAUCGUCACCGGCCGGACUACGGGCAGAAUGCGGCGUUAGAAGGAUACAGCAUGACAUAAAAUAUACGGCAUAUAAAUGAUCCGAAUACUUACGAUCCUGCCGGACGCCUGGCCCUUGGAGGCCACUCAUCCUCGCCAACGUUUAUGUCGGCGAAACUGUCCGGGGGGAUAGUUCUCCCCCUCUUGGACCCUUCGGCCUCCCCGAUUGGGGAAGCCUUCCUCUUCUUCUCUCCCUCCUCCGGGAGGGAAUACUCCUCCUCCUCGUCUUCAGGGGAGGAGUCCUCAUCGUCGUCAGACGCCUGAUUGCGGGAACUCUUUCGAGUCCCCGUGGCCACCUUCUUGGCCUUCUUCUCCGGCACCACGUGCGGUGCCGGAACCAGUAGCCCUGUUAAGCGGGCGUUCACUGGGUCUUCUGGCAUGGGAGCCGGGCUGAUAAGCAGCUUGGCCUUCUCCAUCCAUUCCUGUCAAAGGAAGUGGCAGAAUGAAAUCCCACUAAAAGUUAACUUAAUUAUCACAAGUGUCCCGUAAUGGGGUUGAAUCACUUACCGCGUCAGUCGGACACUGCGAGCUGAAUCCGCGAUCUUCCGUCGCGGAUACGGGGGCUUCGGCGCCCAUGAACAACACCCUCUAGGCGUCUUCGUAUGUUGUAUCGAAAAGCCCGCUUAGCGCCUGGUGCUGUUCCGGAUUGAACUCCCAAAAAUUGAGUGCUCAUUCUUGGCAUGGGAGAAUCCGCCGGAGGAGCAUGACUUGGACCACGUCGAUGAGCCGGAGCCUAUUGCUCACCAUCUUCUUGAUGUAGGCUCGGAGUCCCGUCACCUCCACCGAAUUGCCCCACUGGAAGCCCUUCUCUUUCCAGGAGGUGAGCUGCAUGGGGAUUCCAGAUCUAAACUCGGGGGCCGCCGCCCAUGUGGGCUUGCGCGGCUCGGUGAUGUAGAACCACCCCGAUUGCCACCCCUUGACGGAGUCCACGAAGGUCCCUUCUAGCCAAGGGACGUUGGGCAAUUUGCCCAACAUGGCGCCUCCGCAUUCCGCUUGCGUGCCCUUCACAACCUUCGGCUUGACGUUGAAGGUCUUGAGCCACAGGCCAAAGUGGGGCCGGAUGCAGAGGAAGGCCUCACACACGACGAUAAACGCCGAGAUGUUGAGGAUGAAGUUCGGCGCCAGAUCGUGGAAAUCCAGGCCGUAGUAAAACAUGAGCCCCCGGACAAAUGGAUGGAGCGGAAAGCCCAGUCUACGGAGGAAGUGGGGAAGGAAGACGACCCUCUCAUGAGGCUCAGGGGUAGGGAUGAGCUGCCCCUCGUCGGGCAGCCGAUGCGCAAUAUCGCUGGAAAGGUAUCCGGCGUCGCGCAGCUUGGUGAUGUCCUCCUCCUUGGCGGUGGAGGCUAACCAUUUACCUCCCGCUCCGGACAUAUUCGGAGAAGGUCGAGGCGAGAUGCGCAAGCUUGGGCGUUGGAGCUUGAGUGCGCGGAGAUGGAUAAGCAAAGGAGGAAGAAGGCGUAGGUGAGAAGGUGAAUCCUUAUCCCUUAUAUAUAGGCAGACGAAAACUAUGCGUCCCCCACCGGCCUGUUAAAACUCGCUUAUCUCCCAAGCGCCACCAUCAAUGGCGCGGUUGGGUUACCCACGUCCGUAUUGAUGAGGAUCCCGGAAUAAGGGGAACACGAUCUCUGUUUCGACACGACGUGCCAAGGAAGCCGCUUCGCUAAACGUGCAGAGGUGGUGUAGUAAAAAACAAUUCAAACGAAGGCUUGGUAGCGAUGUGAUGUCACGCCGCAUAAUACGUCAGCAGAUUGAGCUAGUGUAUAUUUUAUUCUCUCUCUACGGUGGAAUGUGGAAAUUAUUUUUGCAGAGCCGGACACUAUCCUGGGUGUUUAUAAUCUUCUCUGGAUUAUUCAAGGGAGGAACCCGCCUUGCAAUGCCGAACAUUAUGCAUGCCGGACUUAUCGUCAUUGAAGACUGGUUCAGGGGCUACUGAGGGAGUCCUGGACUAGGGGGUGUCCGGACAGCCGGACUAUCAUUAUCCGCCGGACUCCAAGACUGCGAAGAUAGAAGAUUGAAGACAUUUGCUCGUGUCCGGAAGGUACUUUCCUUGGCAUGGAAGGCAAGCUUGGCAAUACGGAUAUGUAGAUCUCCUACCAUUGUAACCGACUCUGUGUAACCCUAGCCUCUCUGGUGUCUAUAUAAACCGGAGGGCUUUAGUCCGUAGGACACAACAUACAUUACAACAAUCAUACCAUAGGCUAGCUUCUAGGGUUUAGCCUCCUUGAUCUCGUGGUAGAUCUACUCUUGUACUACCCAUAUCAUCAAUAUUAAUCAAGCAGGACGUAGGGUUUUACCUCCAUCGAGAGGGCCCGAACCUGGGUAAAAACAUCAUGUCCCU